AACGAACGCUGGCGGCAUGCCUAACACAUGCAAGUCGAACGAGACCUUCGGGUCUAGUGGCGCACGGGUGCGUAACGCGUGGGAAUCUGCCCUUCGGUUCGGAAUAACAGUGGGAAACUACUGCUAAUACCGGAUAAUGACGUAAGUCCAAAGAUUUAUCGCCGAAGGAUGAGCCCGCGUAGGAUUAGCUAGUUGGUGGGGUAAAGACCUACCAAGGCGACGAUCCUUAGCUGGUCUGAGAGGAUGAUCAGCCACACUGGGACUGAGACACGGCCCAGACUCCUACGGGAGGCAGCAGUGGGGAAUAUUGGACAAUGGGCGAAGCCUGAUCCAGCAAUGCCGCGUGAGUGAUGAAGGCCUUAGGUUGUAAAGCUCUUUUACCCGGGAUGAUAAUGACAGUACCGGGAGAAUAAGCUCCGGCUAACUCCGU
rnacentral:rRNA from 1 species